AUUGCCUCAGUAACGGCGAGUGAAGCGGCAACAGCUCAAAUUUGAAAUCUGGCCUCUGGCCCGAGUUGUAAUUUGCAGAGGAUGUUUCUGGCGAGGUGCCUUCCGAGUUCCCUGGAACGGGACGCCAUAGAGGGUGAGAGCCCCGUACGGUUGGUCGCUAAGCCUCUGUGAAACUCCUUCGACGAGUCGAGUAGUUUGGGAAUGCUGCUCUAAAUGGGAGGUGUACGCCUUCUUAAGCUAAAUACCGGCUAGAGACCGAUAGCGCACAAGUAGAGUGAUCGAAAGAUGAAAAGCACUUUGAAAAGAGGGUUAAAAAGUACGUGAAAUUGUUGAAAGGGAAGCGCUCUUGACCAGACUUGCGCCGGUUGAUCAUCCGCCGUUCUCGGUGGUGCACUCUGCCGGCUCAGGCCAGCAUCAGUUCGGUCCGGGGGAUAAAGGCUUCGGGAAUGUGGCUCUCUCCGGGGAGUGUUAUAGCCCGUUGCGUAAUACCCUGGGCUGGACUGAGGUUCGCGCAUCUGCAUGGAUGCUGGCGUAAUGGUUAUCAGUGACCCGUCUUGAAACACGGACCAAGGAGUCGUCUUCGUAUGCGAGUGUUCGGGUGUCAAACCCCUACGCGUAAUGAAAGUGAACGUAGGAGAGAGCUUCGGCGCAUCUCCGACCGAUCCUGAUGUUCUCGGAUGGAUUUGAGUAAGAGCAUACGGGGCCGGACCCGAAAGAAGGUGAACUAUGCCUGUAUAGGGUGAAGCCAGAGGAAACUCUGGUGGAGGCUCGCAGCGGUUCUGACGUGCAAAUCGAUCGUCAAAUAUGGGCAUGGGGGCGAAAGACUAAUCGAACCUUCUAGUAGCUGGUUUCCGCCGAAGUU
rnacentral:rRNA from 1 species